UUCUGGGCCGCACGCGCGCUACACUGACAGGGCCAGCGAGUACAUCACCUUGGCCGAAAGGUCUGGGUAAUCUUGUUAAACCCUGUCGUGCUGGGGAUAGAGCAUUGCAAUUAUUGCUCUUCAACGAGGAAUGCCUAGUAGGCACGAGUCAUCAGAUCGCGCCGAUUACGUCCCUGCCCUUUGUACACACCGCCCGUCGCUACUACCGAUUGAAUGGCUCAUUGAGGCCUUCGGACUGGCUCUUGAGGGCUCGCUACUGCACCCCACAGCCGGAAAGUUGUUCAAACUCGGUCAUUUAAAGGAAGUAAAAGUCGUAACAAGGAUUCCGUACGUGAACCUGC
rnacentral:rRNA from 1 species